rnacentral:lncRNA from 1 species
CUUUAUGAAAAUAAACCAUAAUACUAUAUUUCUUUUCUAAUUUAUAAAUACAGUAGUUGCUUGUUUAACAAGCGAAAAUAGUAUUUGAAAAGAUUUCCUUUCAAUAUCUUGUAUGCACUUCUUUCUUUCGUUUCUUUUACCUUGCGACAAAGAAAAGAAUUCUAUCAUGCUAUUCUGUUCGGUUAGAACAAUUUACAGCAUUACAACAAUGCACAUUGUUAAAAAUAACCAGAAAGCCUAUAAGCGGGCAACGUUAAUGCCCUAUCUCACAGGAAAUAAAAUGGCAUCUAAUAGCGGAGAGGAAUGCUCUUCUCUAUAUAUCUAAGGCCUCUAAAACAAGAGAAUAAUAUGUAGAUAAUCUGUAUAAUCUUACAAUUAUUAAGAAAUUAUUUUUAAGUUUUGUAAUAAAUGAUAGAAACGUAUAAAAUCUUAUGCCUAAAAGUAAUAGCUUUUAAAAUCGGGUAUAUCCAGAUUGCUCGGCUUGUAUUAUUAUAUCAUAUAAAUUUCAGUUUGUAUGUAGAUUUCUUUGUUUCAGUCAUCUCUUAAGCAAUGAAAGCUACAGUCGCCAUACUUGGCCGAGUUCAUUCUGAUUAACGACUAAAAUCGUUAAGAUAUUCAAUAGAUUUUUGAGAAUAAGCAUAGAACAACGAUUUAUUAUAAUAAUUUAAUUUUCUAAACGGUAUGAAUGUGUAAUAGCCCCAUCUCUUUAUGACAGUUCGACAAAAAUACAUUGGGAUAUACAAUAUUUCAGAAAGAGACGAAAUUUAACAAUCACAAAGGCGACGAUGUACCAAAAUUCUUCAUCCUAGACAGUUUACUUUCUGGUGAUUUACCUUAAUUAUUUCAUGUUAGUAUUUCGUAAAACAGAUGGCAUGUUUCCUUAAUCUCAUGUAUAUGUAGUUUCAGAAAUAUUAAAUUAUAAUUACUGACAAAAUUUUACACUUAACCAUAGGCAUACGAUGGGUACCCUUAACCAGUUCUUUAAGCCUCUCUUUUUAACCAGCUAUUUGCCAGUAUGUAUGGCUAACUACACUAGGGUUGUAUGAAAGGAUGUAAAUUUUUAUGACUUUCAAUCAUUUCCAAUACAAAUCAUAUUUAAAAACAACCACAAGAAAAGUAAAAUAAAAAUAGCGAACUAAAACAAUAAUUUAAUUAAUCAAAUUUUCUAUAUAUCGAUAUAUAUAUAUAUAGAUAUUUUUAUUAUUAUUAUUUUUAUCAUUUCCACUUCGACAAUUAACGAUAAUUCU